UCCCCUAGUAACUGCGAGUGAAGCGGGAAAAGCUCAAAUUUAAAAUCUGGCAGUCUUUGGCUGUCCGAGUUGUAAUCUAGAGAAGUAUUAUCCGCGCUGGACCGUGUACAAGUCUCCUGGAAUGGGGCGUCAUAGAGGGUGAGAAUCCCGUCUUUGACACGGACUGCCAGGGCUUUGUGAUAUGCUCUCAAAGAGUCGAGUUGUUUGGGAAUGCAGCUCAAAAUGGGUGGUAAAUUCCAUCUAAAGCUAAAUAUUGGCGAGAGACCGAUAGCGAACAAGUACCGUGAGGGAAAGAUGAAAAGAACUUUGGAAAGAGAGUUAAACAGUACGUGAAAUUGCUGAAAGGGAAACGCUUGAAGUCAGUCGCGUUGGCCAGGGAUCAACCUUGCUUUUUUGCUUGGCUUACUUUCUGGUUGAUGGGUCAGCAUCAAUUUUGACUGGUGGAAAAAGUUCAAGGGAAUGUGGCAUCUUCGGAUGUGUUAUAGCCUUUGUUCACAUACAUUGGUUGGGAUUGAGGAACUCAGCACGCCGCAAGGCCGGGUUUUUAACCACGUACGUGCUUAGGAUGCUGGCAUAAUGGCUUUAAUCGACCCGUCUUGAAACACGGACCAAGGAGUCUAACAUGCCUGCGAGUAUUUGGGUGAAAAACCCGAGUGCGUAAUGAAAGUGAAAGUUGAGAUCCCUGUCGUGGGGAGCAUUGACGCCCGGAUCUGACCUUUUGUGACGAUUCUGCGGUAGAGCAUGUAUGUUGGGACCCGAAAGAUGGUGAACUAUGCCUGAAUAGGGUGAAGCCAGAGGAAACUCUGGUGGAGGCUCGUAGCGAUUCUGACGUGCAAAUCGAUCGUCAAAUUUGGGUAUAGGGGCGAAA
rnacentral:rRNA from 1 species